rnacentral:lncRNA from 1 species
CUUGGACCUUAGAAAGCUUGCAGUCAUGCCUUACAGUAUGGUCAGGUGAACUGUGAAUGGAGCAGGAGUUAACUUGACGCAUGCAAACUGAGGGAAUAAAAAAAUAUCUCAUGAUGAGAAGACAAAGAAAAGGAAAGAAAUAUCCAUGGAGGAAGCUUUAGGUCCACGUUGAUGUCAUAUUAAACUGUCAAGCAGUGCUGCUGCGUGUAAGCAUUUUAAAGAAAAAGUUCAUCAAGAGAUUGAUGUGUGGACCUGCGUUCCGUGUUUGGUUUCCCCGUAACUGUGGACUGCUGCUUCCUCACUCUGACAAGGAAGACUUGCCCCCAUUUUGUGCUGUUCUCGGUCUCUACAUUUCUUACGGUUGGAACAAAGGCUGAGCUGAGGGUUGAGUUAAAGAGAUGGUGGAACGUGUGGCAGAGAGUCCAACUUUCCCACUCCUCUUCUUGGUGCCUGGGACUGGUUAAUAAUUCUGCCGGUUCCAUACUGGAGUUCUUUGAAUCUUGCGAGUCAAACUAAGCUGAGUGCCACCCCUGCUCCUCUGAGCCCCAUUUUUCUGGAAGAACUAGGGAGAAAGAGCACCAUUUUCCAGUGCGUGCUGCCCUCCACCUUCCAUGACAAUGAGAG